rnacentral:rRNA from 1 species
UACGGAGGGUGCAAGCGUUGUUCGGAAUCAUUGGGCGUAAAGCGCGUGUAGGCGGCUUGGCAAGUCAGUUGUGAAAGCCCGGGGCCCAACCCCGGAACUGCAUCUGAAACUGCCUGGCUAGAGUCCCGGAGGAGGAAGGCAGAAUUCCCGGUGUAGGGGUGAAAUCCGUAGAUAUCGGGAGGAACACCGAUGGCGAAGGCAGCCCCCUGGGCUAACACUGACGCUCAUGCACGAAAGCGUGGGGAGCAAACAGG